rnacentral:rRNA from 1 species
GCAACGCCGCGUGUGUGAUGAAGGUCUUCGGAUCGUAAAGCACUUUCGACCGGGACGAAAACCCCUUGGCUAACAUCCAGGGGCGUUGACGGUACCGGGAGAAGAAGCACCGGCUAACUCUGUGCCAGCAGCCGCGGUAAUACGUAGGGAGCAAGCGUUGUCCGGAAUCAUUGGGCGUAAAGCGCGCGUAGGCGGCCUUGUAAGUCCGUUGUGAAAGUCAAAGGCUCAACCUUUGAAAGCCGAUGGAUACUGUGAGGCUAGAGUCCGGAAGAGGCGAGUGGAAUUCCUGGUGUAGCGGUGGAAUGCGCAGAUAUCAGGAGGAACACCAAUAGCGAAGGCAGCUCGCUGGGACGGUACUGACGCUAAGGCGCGAAAGCGUGGGGAGCGAACAGGAUUAGAUACCCUGGUAGUCCACGCCGUAAACGAUGGGCACUAGGUGCGGGAGGUGUCGACUCCUCCCGUGCCGUCGCUAACGCACUAAGUGCCCCGCCUGGGGAGUACGGCCGCAAGGCUA